CCUAAUGGGUGACGCGGAGGGAUCAUUACCGAGUUUACAACUCCCAAACCCAAUGUGAACCAUACCAAACUGUUGCCUCGGCGGGGUCACGCCCCGGGUGCGUCGCAGCCCCGGAACCAGGCGCCCGCCGGAGGGACCAACCAAACUCUUUCUGUAGUCCCCUCGCGGACGUUAUUUCUUACAGCUCUGAGCAAAAAUUCAAAAUGAAUCAAAACUUUCAACAACGGAUCUCUUGGUUCUGGCAUCGAUGAAGAACGCAGCGAAAUGCGAUAAGUAAUGUGAAUUGCAGAAUUCAGUGAAUCAUCGAAUCUUUGAACGCACAUUGCGCCCGCCAGUAUUCUGGCGGGCAUGCCUGUCCGAGCGUCAUUUCAACCCUCGAACCCCUCCGGGGGGUCGGCGUUGGGGAUCGGGAACCCCUAAGACGGGAUCCCGGCCCCGAAAUACAGUGGCGGUCUCGCCGCAGCCUCUCAUGCGCAGUAGUUUGCACAACUCGCACCGGGAGCGCGGCGCGUCCACGUCCGUAAAACACCCAACUUCUGAAAUGUUGACCUCGGAUCAGGUAGGAAUACCCGCUGAACUUAAGCAUAUCAUUAGCCCGAAGAACAA
rnacentral:rRNA from 1 species